rnacentral:rRNA from 1 species
AUUGAACGCUGGCGGCAUGCUUUACACAUGCAAGUCGAACGGCAGCACGGGCUUCGGCCUGGCGGCGAGUGGCGAACGGGUGAGUAAUACAUCGGAACGUGCCCAGUAGUGGGGGAUAGCUCGGCGAAAGCCGGAUUAAUACCGCAUACGACCUGAGGGUGAAAGCGGGGGAUCUUCGGACCUCGCGCUAUUGGAGCGGCCGAUGGCAGAUUAGCUAGUUGGUGGGGUAAAGGCCUACCAAGGCGACGAUCUGUAGCUGGUCUGAGAGGACGACCAGCCACACUGGGACUGAGACACGGCCCAGACUCCUACGGGAGGCAGCAGUGGGGAAUUUUGGACAAUGGGCGAAAGCCUGAUCCAGCAAUGCCGCGUGUGUGAUGAAGGCCUUCGGGUUGUAAAGCACUUUUGGCGGGAACGAAAAGGACUGUGCCAAUACCACGGUUCGAUGACGGUACCCGCAGAAUAAGCACCGGCUAACUACGUG